UACGUAGGGGGCAAGCGUUAUCCGGAUUUACUGGGUGUAAAGGGAGCGUAGACGGCGAUGCAAGUCUGAAGUGAAAGGCGGGGGCCCAACCCCCGGACUGCUUUGGAAACUGUAUGGCUGGAGUGCAGGAGAGGUAAGUGGAAUUCCUAGUGUAGCGGUGAAAUGUGUAGAUAUUAGGAGGAACACCAGUGGCGAAGGCGGCUUACUGGACUGUAACUGACGUUGAGGCUCGAAAGCGUGGGGAGCAAACAGG
rnacentral:rRNA from 1 species